rnacentral:rRNA from 1 species
UACGAAGGGUGCAAGCGUUACUCGGAAUUACUGGGCGUAAAGCGUGCGUAGGUGGUUUUUUAAGUCCGUUGUGAAAGCCCUGGGCUCAACCUGGGAAUGGCAGUGGAUACUGGAAAGCUAGAGUGCGGUAGAGGGUAGUGGAAUUCCCGGUGUAGCAGUGAAAUGCGCAGAUAUCAGGAGGAACACCGGUGGCGAAGGCGGGUCUCUGGGCAGUGAACUGACGCUGAGGAGCGAAAGCGUGGGGAGCAAACAGG